rnacentral:sRNA from 1 species
CCAGAAAAGCCAGAGUGAUUCAGAAAGACCUGUCUCAAAACACUGGAAACAAAUAAACCAACAAACCUAUGUGAGUUAAUAAUACAAGAUUAAUAUAGGAAAAGUCAACAUAUAUAUGAUUUUAUAUAUAUAAAAAUCAGAAUCUGAAGUAUACAGGAAUUUAUAAUGUGAAAAUUAUGACAUUUUAAUCAUAAAUGAUAAAAUUUAUAUGAAAGAUUUAUAAAAUCAAACAAUCUUAAACUGGAGACACUAAGCAAAAGUAUGUCAUAUGUUCACUGAGUCUGAAGAAUCAAUACUGCUAACAACCAGUACACAGAGAAACCAUGUCUCAAAAAGCAAAAAAGAAACAAUAUGAUUAACAAUCCCUCCAAAAUUACCAUAGACUAAACACAAUCUAAUUCCAUGUUCUAGAAGGCUUUUUUUGUUUUUAGGAAAUUAACAACAACAAACCCUUAAAAAUUCAAAAGAAGUGUAAAGCAGGUAGUAACAACUUUAAAGAAGAAACUAUAGGGUUGACAUUACCUCACCAGCAUUAAGACACAUUCAUGAAGCAGAAAAUGCGAAGUUCACAGAAAAACAUACACAGAUAGAUAUUGAGAGGUGAUGAUGAAAACUCUCGAAGAACAGUCACUUUAACAACAGGUCUGCAGGACAGCCUUUAGGGUUUGGGGGGGGGGGGUUGCAAUGUGUCAGGGCUGAGCAGUUAGCAACACUCACUGCUCUCCUGAGAGCCCACGCUGGGUACACAGAUAGUGCACACUCAUAUGGAUGGGCACGCACACACACAUACUCAACAAACAAUGGUGACAACUGACCUAUGCUUUGAGACACUAGCAAACACUAACUCAAAAUGAAGCACUGACUUAAAGAAGAAAUAUGAAACUAUUAAUCUAGGAGAGAAAAAUCACAGGACCACAGGAGAACCUUUUCAAUCUUAGAGCAAUUAGGUAAAGAUUUUGCAAAGGGACAAUUUUUAAAAGAAUCAAGUUUAUUAAUAAGACUUCAUAAAAAAAUUUAAACAUCUAAUCUAAAAGACACUUAAUGAAAAAUAAGCCACAGAAUAGGAAAUUCCUGAAAAACCAUAUAUAAAUAAAAACAAAAAACUGAAAUAAAUCAGGAACUCUUGAAGCUCCAUAAGAAAACCAGUUUUUAUUAAAGAUAUUUUUAAAGUAAAUGCUAUCUCAGUCACUACCCUAAGGACAAAGAAGUGUGCACAAAAGUGUUCACCUUUGAUAAUUACCAGAAAGCACAGUGAGUUAUCACUGUGUCCCAUCAAACUCUAACCAACCACACGUUCUGCGCACUAGGAAGGCACAGUGCACACGGAAGGCUGACUCCACAUUCCAUGCUGUGCGGGUGAGAACGCAAAGUGAUUUAAUUUUCGGCCCCUAAAAGUUAUGUGUAAAUCUUGUCCAAGCCAUCAUCCCACUCUACCGAAGACAUUAAAACUCCACAGCCAUGUGUGACGUUGUUAAGUGAUCCACAUAGAGACUUUACAAGUGUCAAAACUGUGAAAAGAUAAAAACUUACAAUAGACAAAUGAAAUGUGUAAGCUGUGGUAACAACAAAAUACAAAUCUGUAAAAAAAAAAAACAAAAAAAACCUUAAUGAUAUGUAAUAUAACACAAAUCAUAUCUUUAUCAUUAAUUGUAAAAACAACUCGGCAAAGAAACCAAAAUGGCCCACAUUUUCACUAGAUGAUAUUAGAAUUGAGAUCAAUCAUUCUUGCUUCUGUUUGUUAAGAGAUGAAACAUCUUUAUUAGGUAUGGCCUGGAAUUACCUCUGCAUGUAGUCCAAGCUGAUCUCAAACCGACUUCCUGUUUCAGCCUCCUGACUGCUGGGAGGCAGAUGAGAGCCACUGUGUCCAGGCAAUGAUCACUCUCCAAAGCCCUCAACACCAUCCUGCAGCCCUCAGAGGAGUGUGAUCUGCAGGGUGUCCUGGAGCACAGGAGAGGUGUGGAGCAAACAGGUCUCUGAUGAAACUCUGGAAAGCUUUAGUCCUUCCAGAGCUUCUGCAGCAACACAGAACCAUCCAGGGUCUGACAUGCCAUUUGAAAAAGGUUCCAACAACAUAGCCUCUCACAAAACUCAGCUGACAGCAGGACUAUGUAUCUUUGUAUCAAGAAGAUUGGGAAUCACCAGAAUUCACCAGUGGUGUGGGUGUGUCCAGGCAGACUGAGGGUAAAGUCCUUAUGAGAGCAGGUCGGCAGGGCCAAGGGGGGCUCUGUGUGUGCUAAGUGUGUCUGUGGCAGAUCAGGCUUUCUCACUUCCUUACUGAGGCCCAGAAACCAAUGAAAGCAGUCAGAAAGCAAAAUAAAUAUGAACAUCGAGUUUCAAAGUUCCGUUUUUAAAAAAAAUCCUAGAGACCUCCCCAUCAAAUCAUUCACAUUAACCCUGUGGCAGCACUCUGCCAUGGUGGCACUCUGCCAUGGUCGCUUUGCAUUUUCAUUUAAUAAGGUGUGUGUUUCUGUCUUGGCUCUUAUAUCUCAUCAACAAAGAUUUGACCUUUUUGUUUUCCACAGAACUAUCACCUAGCACUACCCUUGUAGAUUUGCUGUCAACCAAAGAUAAGGAGCAGUCAAGCAGAGUCUUAAACGUCGAAAUGGCUUAAAUUGGGAAAAGUAUAGCAGUAAAUGAAUACUAUGUGAUUUUCAAACAGAACAGAAGAACAUGGAAGAGGAAUCAAAGUUCAUUCUCAUAUUUACUAGAUGACAUGGGAGUACAAGAUAAAGUCUGUCCAAGAGCUUACAGCAAUGGACUGCACAGGUAUCACUGCAGGAAACGGGGGUUGUGAAAAGAGCCAACCAUGCUGCUGACUGCAAAGCGGUACUAUUUCUAGUCUCAAAAGAGAAGGAUCAAUUCACUAAACAAUUUUUAAAAAGUCCUUACAUAGUGCUGGUACCUCAGAGUGAUUUUAAAAUACAAAGCAAAAGUGCCUUUUAUGUUAUAUUUAAUUAAUCAAGAUUUACAACUUCACUUCUAUAAUUUAACACUUAUUUGGUACAGACAUUUAACAGAGCAAUUAAAUCCUUAUUUCCACUUCUGUUCUAAAGUCCGCCUGCCCGCAGUGAGUGGGAACUGCUGCAGAUCAUUAAUCUCGCGUUUAUCAAUGUCUCUCUCCAGGCAACACAAUGCAGAAAAGCACACAGACACCAUCCUGAACCCCAGCAACAGCAGCUAAUUAGCAUAGCCUACCACUAAACCGGGACCAUAUGAUUGGAACUGUUAGUCAGAAUGCUAGCCAAUCAAACUAGGUUAUGCAAAUAGACUAUUUUAGUUGCCAGGGUAAAGCUACUUCCAAUUGUCCAAUAGGAAAACAAGCAAUAAACAAGAAAUGAAAUUGAGCUUUGUCACAUUUUCAAGUUGCUGUUAACACUUUCAGGUUUAGAACAAAAUUAAAAGCAACUAUAAAGGAUUAGAUUUCAAUCUACUUUGUACUACAAAAACAAACAGAUACUAACACAUGGAGAAUACUGUUAGACGCAAUUAUCUGCUAAAUUUUUAACUUUUUACUUCAUAGAUACCUGCUUUUCUAACACCUGCAGCCUUCAACAUUUCAAGUUUUCUCCCACUUUCUCAAAGGGAUCAUUUAAAUGCCUUUCUAUACAUUUAAAGAGAUUCUUAAAAAUUACACUUUAGAAAAAAACCCUACAUACCAUUUUAAUCUUUAUAAACUACAGUUGAGGUGAAUAUUACAAAAAAACAAAACAAAGUUCAAAUAAGUAGUUUUGGGUUAGGAAAAAAAACAGAAUUUUAUCUUUUAUUAUGGUACCUUUUAAUAUAUAAUCCUGUUAGUAUAAAUAACAUAACUUUAUAAAGAAUGAAAUCCAAAAAGUAUUAAUCAUACAUGCAGGAUGGAACCAAGUAAAUCAUUCUCAUAGCUAAGAAAAACACUCAACUAAAAUUGUAGCCACAAUAUAGACACUAUAGACACCGUGUGUGUGUGUGUGUGUGUGUGUGUGUGUGUGUGUGUGUGUGUAAUUUUCAGUAAUGAAUAAAAUAUUUUUUGAAACAUCCAAUUCUGUAAGUACAUUUAAUAGGUACAACUGUUGUUUUUGUUGUUUUGUUUCUUAAUAAAUUCAGUUUUCUGACAAUCUUGUGGUUGAGGGAAUUUCUUUUCAUUUCACAUAAACACUUUAAAACAUGUCAAAGAGACAGUUAUCACUUGUACCUUACAAAAGACACAUUUUAAAAUACAUGAACUUAUGUCACCCUUCCUAGCAAUUAUCCUCACCUAAAUGGAAUGCAGAUUUGUCCCACACUGUUAUAAAGUUACUAUUUAAAUAUUUUUCCACAGAGCCAGUAUAUGUCUCCAGAAAGACUUGUAGCAUUUGUAAAAAUAUUUCCUAUGAAGACACAGAACCCUUUAAGCUCACACUGGCACACAGUCUUAGGAAAAGUGAAUGGGUUCUACGCCUACCCCUGUAGUUGUCUGAAGGAGGAAGGGAAGGAAGGGUCUGGAGGGAGCAUAAGCAAAGCACAGUGGCAAGUGUGAGACUGCCGUAGUGAAACUAUUAUGUUGAAAACUAGAAAAAAGUUGAAAGCAAUUAUAAACAAAAACAGAAGUCUCUCGUCCACCAUCUCCAAUCUGUCCCCAACACCCAUCUCUUAUACCUGUCCCCUAAUUUCUUCCCAUGCUCUCUCUCUAUUCAAGAAUUCUUGACUUUCAAAAAGCAAAACAAUCAAUCACUCAAAGUCCACUGGUACCAAGAUAGAAAUAGCAGGUUUCUUACAAGGUGCAGAGGUUUCAACAACAGAACUUUCAACCUGGAAGAAAACCUAGGAUGAAUACUAAUUUUUCAUCCUACUAAGUGCAUCUUUUGAGAAUUAGUAUAUAACAAAACACCAAUGAAAUCUAAACCUUCCCAAACCAUCUUCUAAACGGUAUUGAUGAAUCAUCAAUAAUUUCUCCUGUCCAUAUCAAAAACAAAACAAAAAAAAACACAUUUUGUAUCAAAGUAAUUUGUAUCACAAAAAAGGUGAGCACAGGAUCUCCCCACACUGACACCUACUCCUACUGAGAAUGACCUAACUCACUCAUUAGCCCUUAGACAGCUCACACUCAUACAUCCAACUUCAGUACCAUUGGCUUGUCUACCUGCAAGCUUUAUGAGCUUCCUUUAAUUCUCAAUUAUAAAGGCACGAAGCAAGAAGAGAAAGAUCUAAUCACAUUCAUACCUUCACCCAUAAUCACUGUCUUAAAGUAUCCUGCAUUGAGGUCCCUAACUCAUCAGUCUAUUUUCCAAUCUGCAGCAACAAAAAGAGAGAGCACUUUCCGCAUAUACAAGGCUGUCUCCAGUAUACCUCACAAGUACUGUCCAUGUCACAGAGCUUCCCCUGUCACUGAAAGGGGUAAACAUCAAAGCCUUGGCACUAUGGCGGUCUCUUCAAGGUCUGGAGACACAAGGAAACAUCCUCCACCUAGCUCUGGGGUAAGCGCCCUACAUUUAAAUGUCUGUAGCAUAACAUCAUUUCUUUUCGAAGCAAUUAAAAAGUAGAAUUUAGGAAAAUGUAAGUACUAGUUUUAGAAACAGAAAUUAAACACUUAAAACAUUCAAAAACAGUUCACUCACUAAAUUAGAAUCUUUACCACAUGAACAGACACUAGAAUUCUAGUAAAGAAAAUAAGUUUUCUAAGGAUACAAUUAAUCAUUAACUUUUAAAAAGCCAGCAUUUUCAGUUUGAAUUCCUGCAAUAUAGGAAGAACUAGAUCAGAAAAAGCAGGUGGUAACUUCUCAGCAACUGUAAACAUGCUCAACACACAAAAGCAACAACGGCUCCCCUCUCCUUUGGUGUACAAGACUCUGGACUUGGCAAGGCUGUCCACUACCCUAGGAACCCCAGAGAGACGUCACACUCCACUCCAAGAAACAGUCAACUUUACACUUUUGAAAACAUCUACUUAGGAAAAAAAUAGUCAAGAAUUGAGGGUGACUGUGUUGACUAGUUAUUACACCGCCCCCCCAAUACAGUAGCUGCUAGCUAGCAGCAACAGGGUUUGGUGAGCAUCUUUUACAAAAGACUGGCCCAGCAGUUAACUUGUAUUCUCCAACCUUAAAGCCACCCUGAGCCUACUGCUACUUCUUAAGUGGCUAACAGAUCCACACUGCAGACAGCAAGCUGUAAAUACUGGACUGUAUUGCUCUCAGGAUCUGAUUCAUGUUUAUGAGUGUUCUCGUCCAAAUUCACCGUUAUACAGUAAAUGCACUUUUUCUCAGUCAGGUAUUAAGGAAAUUGAACAGCAGACCAGACGUUUUUCUUUUGCUUAAAGUUAACAAAAUUAAUAAUAUGCUUUUAAAACAAGACUUAAAAACUGAUUUUAAGGUUUAAAAAAUACUUCUGGACUACACUUAAAGGCAAUACAACAGCACCUUCAUUUUUUAAAUACUCUAAUGUACACAACACAUUAAAUGCUUGCCUGUUAGUCACUGCACAUCUGAGAAGGGAAAGACUUGAAACCUUUUGUAUUGGUUGCUGAUGGGGCCUUGUUUGCGUAUACUGGAAAUAUGGUCUCAUUUGUGACCUGAAAUUCACUCGGUAUACCAUGGUGGCCUCACACUCAUAGAAAUUCACCUACCCAGCCCCAGAUUUAACAAGUUAAAGGAGUUAAGUUUAUCCUAUUUCUUUUUUAACUAUAAAAUUUUACUUCCAAGAGCCUUGGGGUGAAAACAACCUAAAAGAACACAUGCUCUAUCAUUCUUUUGGCAGCUGAAGCCUCAGAAGCAAGAAGAGAGAGCCCUUGAGUCUAUGUAUGGGAAGAAACGAGACAGAAGACAACAUACAAAGAGAUUCCCAAUUCAAAAGUCAGACACAGGGCUGAUGACAGCCAGACCUUCUUUCUGUGAGGGAAGAACCAGCAGAGACAACUGGAGCCCUAAGAACUAGAGGGGUCAAAGGACAUUUGAAAACUUAGUUCUGUAAGUUUCGGGGGAGAGGGGGAGAGACAACCCUAAGAAAAAUCUAAACAUACUUGUUUAAAUCUUUUAUUUAAAAAACAAAACAAAACAAAAUCCAGCAGAAUAGUAAUAACCACAAGUUAGAAUCAAGUAAAACUGCAUAGUGACCUGUCAGUGAGCGAAGGAUUUUUACGGGCUUUCCACACGACUAAGUGCAAUGAGUUUGUUUCUAGUACUAAAGAAACAUCAACAACUACCACCUCCAUCUAAACACUGACCCAAAAGUUAAUCAGCAGACGUGACAGUGCAGCUAUGAAGCAGCACACAGAAAGGGCAGCAAAGAGUGUGGGAUUGCACCACCCCACCCCACACACUUGAUGUGUGUGCAAGCAUGCACAAACGUGUGCAUGAGUCUGCGUGUGUUCACAGCCCCAUGGUGUCUGGGUACAAGAGGAGAACUGGAAAGGCAGAGACUCCUCCACCAACUCUUUUUUUUUUUUUUUGGUUCUUUUUUUCGGAGCUGGGGAUCGAACCCAGGGCCUUGCGCGUCCUAGGUAAGCGCUCUACCACUGAGCUAAAUCCCCAGCCCCUCCUCCAUCAACUCUUAAGAAAGUAUCUACAGGGGGUUGGGGAUUUACCUCAGUGGUAGAGCAUUUGACUAGCAAGUGCAAGGCCCUGGGUUAGG